rnacentral:rRNA from 1 species
GAGUGCCUUCCUAGUCAAUCAUGCAGAAUAUGAAAUUUCCCAGACGAACAGCUCAGUAACUCUUAUUUGAUUUGAUGUAUUAGGAUUCUAACUAUGUUAAAUUAUAGGUAACAAUAAUACAAUAAGAAUAAGAUCUAUCAGUUAGUUGUUAAGGUAAUGGCUUAACAAGACUAUGACGGAUAACGGUAUUACUUUGUAAUAUUCCGGAGAAGGAGCCUGAGAGAUUGCUACUAAGUCUAAGGAUUGCAGCAGGGGCGAAACUUGGACCUAUGAUAUUAUAUUGAGGCAGUUAUGAGUAGUAUUUUAUAAUUAUUGUAGUAUUGUAAGUACAUAUUACAAGAUAAAUCGGACGGCAAAUCGAGUGCCAGCAGCCGCGGUAAUCUUGUUCCGAUAGUGUGUAUGAUGAUUGAUGCAGUUAAAAAAGUCUGUAGUUUUAUUUAUUAUAAACCAUUGUAAAGGGAUCCUGUUCUUAGCAGUAAAACUUAUGUUGAGUCCAUAGAUAUAUUUUGAUAUAUAUUUAAUGUAGAGAAAUUAAGAUUAUAUUGACUCUGGGGAUAGUAUGAUCGCAAGAUGAAAAUUAAAGAAAUUGACGGAAGAAUACCACAAGGAGUGGAUUGUGCGGCUUAAUUUGACUCCAACGCGGGGUAAUUUACCCAGGUAUAACAUGGUAUAAUAUUUUAUCAUGAUAGUGGUGCAUGGCCGUUUCCCAAUGGAUGCUGUGAAGUAAUGAUUAAUUUCAACAAGAUGUGAGACCCUCAUUUAGACAGAUGUAGUGAUACAUAUGAAGGAGAGGAUUAAAACAGGUCCGUUAUGCCCUAAGAUAAUCUGGGUUGCACGCGCAAUACAAUAAUAUUUGAUAUUAUAAGGGAUAAUAUAAUGUAAGAUAUAUUUGAACAUGGAAUUGCUAGUAAAUUUUAUUUAAUAAGUAGAAUUGAAUGAGUCCCUGUUCUUUGUACACACCGCCCGUCGCUAUCUAAGAUGGGGAACUAUGAACUACUUUUAAAGAAGAGCAGACUAGUCGAAUAC